UACGGGGGGGGCAAGCGUUGUUCGGAAUUACUGGGCGUAAAGGGCUCGUAGGUGGCCAACUAAGUCAGACGUGAAAUCCCUCAGCUUAACUGGGGAACUGCGUCUGAUACUGGAUGGCUUGAGUUUGGGAGAGGGAUGCGGAAUUCCAGGUGUAGCGGUGAAAUGCGUAGAUAUCUGGAGGAACACCGGUGGCGAAGGCGGCAUCCUGGACCAACACUGACACUGAUGAGCGAAAGCGUGGGGAGCAAACAGG
rnacentral:rRNA from 1 species